ensembl:misc_RNA
AAGCUCCGCCGACUGCCCUUUGAUCCGAGUAAUUUUUGGCGAUUUUUUUAGUGAUUUUUUCCGGCGGAGUCCUAGUGGUGCUAUACUCUCGGACAGGUUAGCCCGUCUCUCCCGCUAGAUUGAUGAGAUCAGGCAUC